rnacentral:misc_RNA from 1 species
ACUUAGCGCUUGUUUCUGAUACCGUUGAGUGUUGCGCGUCUUGCAGGUUGUUAUGACGACCAGGAUAUACGUGACCUUGAGGUUCCGCCCUCAUACACACUGGACAGGGGCUCGGUGGGCCUCUGUCAGGAAAGGUGCGGGUACAGGAGCUUUGCCCUACAGGGCACCACAUGCCUGUGUUUGAGGGAGUCUCCAAAUAUUGAGGGCGUGUCCCCUUCUCGCUGUGACCGGAACUGCUCUGCUGACGAUGAUAGUCACGUGAACGACUGCGGAGGAAGCGACACCUUCAACGUUUACAGAGUCACACCUAGAGAGAAGUUACAGAGCGAAAUCACGGUGAACUGCGUGGUGUUGGGAUGUUACGAACAAUGGACACAACUCCACACGGACAACUGUACCGAGGAUCUCGGUCGUAUCUGCCAGUCCGAAGGUAGAAAAGUCGAUAAGAGAGAGAGAGAGAGAGAGAGAGAGAGAGAGAGAGAGAGAGAGAGAGAGCAUUUAAAACAGAGUUAAUAUAUGUUAGUAUUCGGGUAUUUAUUUCUUGCAGCAAGUACAAAUAAAUCGCUUGCUCCGGAUGAAAAGAAUUUUAAAUCUUGGAGCGAGACGUAUGUAGAGUGCAGGGACAGAAUGGGCUACCUGUACGGAAAUAUCAGUCUGAAUGAGGACUCCGACACACUGUGUGGGAGACUGUACGACAUCCGGAGUAACACCCCGGAGACGUGGCUGGGGGUGGCCAGACAGGUGUUCCUAACCACCGACAGAGGAAGAGACUCAUUCGGAUACUUGUUGGAUUGCAGUAUUUGUUUUGAGCAGUCGGCGGGAUGUUUGUAUGUUACAGAGUGUAGUAGUACCUCACGGAAAGCAACAGCAGUGUGUGGAAAUGCUGACCAUCUGUCUGUACCUGUGGUUACAUCAACCACAUCAGAGACACCCACACAGACUCCGGCUCCAAAAACUGGCGACGGUAAGGGAACCUUUCAUUACUUCUUUAUAUAGUUAACCUAAUGACACACACUCAAUGGAAACGGUAAGAUUUAUUAUUGCUACACAAACAUGAAACAACGCAACACGGAACGGUAAGACACGCUUAAAACUACAUGCACAUGUAUUACAACAAAGUUUUGUGAAAUACACAAACAAGGAACAGUUUAAAGAUGCUUCAACAGCUACUCAAACUUGAACCCACACAGACAUGGGUGGAAAGUGACGCUACAGUUGCUUAGAGAUGCUUGCUACAGUUGUUAAACAGACGCUUGCUAAGAGACACUUGCUACAGUUUGUGAAACACGCUCAAAGAAAGAACGGACAGAAACUCCUCUACCGCUACACCAAAUUGAAACACACAGGCAUGGAAUGGCAUGAGAGUUGGAUGGAUUAGCGAUUCUUUUCUGGCAUUGCUUUACAGAGGGCAAUCGGUAAUGCCUUUAUUUUCAUUAAAAAUAACUAAGAUAGUAAGCAAACCAUAAAGAAGGAAAUCGAAGCUUCUGGGGUUUUUUUUCAAUCAAGGAAUAAGUGAGCUUCUGUUUCUCCAUAAAAGGUGAUGAUUAAAGGAUGUUUGUGGAAUACCAUUAACUGCUCAUGUGCGCUCUAAUUGGUAUCAAAUCAUCUGGUAUUUACGAAAGUUUCAAAAUAUGUGAUAUGCUCGUACCCAUUAUUUGAUAAGUUAGUACUGCCUUUGAGGCAAAACUUAUUUUUAAAAGCUAAAUGAAAUAUCAUUUUAUAAAGUCUAUUCGUGUUUGCUUGCAGAUGAUAAUUCAGGUCAAAUUGUUGCAAUAGUUGUUCCUGUCCUGAUUUUGGUGGCUCUGUUCGCUGGGAUUGGUAUUUUCGUCAUCAGAAGACGUAGAAAGAUGUCUGGUAUUCCUGAUGGUACCACUGCAAAACAGUACAAGGGUAACAUUUUAUAUGAGAGUAAUCAGAGCAAAGGGCCUCAAAAACCAUUCACAGUGACCGAAAAACCCGAAAACUUUGAAAAUCGCCGUAGUAGCGAAACAAAAGACCAACACAUUUAUCACGAAAUAGAAUCUAAAGAGGACAAGUUAGUAAUGUCCGGACCAGCCGACAGAAUCCCUCCCGGUGUCGAGUCAAAAGAAGUUGAUGGUCUCAGUGAGAAGGAAGCUCACACACGGCCAACUGUGAAUGAGAAGACAGAAACUGCGUCCCAGAACUCCCAGGGCGGGACCGAGUCAACAAAAAGCACUGUAUUAAGUUCUAAUGACGACAACAAACAGCCAACCGUCAAGGCAACAGUGACACCACCGGAAAGACGGGACGAACCGGAAGUGAAACAGAAUACUGACACUCUCGCUGUUGUCAGUGGUGACGAUAAACAGAAGGCAGAUGAUCAUAUUAUUCGUCAACCGUAUACAAAGAAAAUAGGGGACACUCUCAAGACAACAGAAGACACAGGAAUGAACUUACCGGUAUACCACAAUGAAACAGAAUCAAAGCCCACUCCUUCAAAUGAUGCGAGACCCCCAGCCGAGAAACCCGUAAACAAAAAAAAUGUUUCUGUUAUACAAGUCUGCAAAUUCUAAAGCACUAGCACUCUAGGUUAGUCACGGGAUUUCGGCCCAUUCGGCUCCACGGCAAAAUGAUGAAUUCAAAGCUUCCCUGCUUCCUAUGAAAGAUUAAAACAAUUUCAAGCAUAAUAUGUACAGUACUUUGCUUUUGUGUUCUACUCUUACCCAAUAUUCAAGAUUGUUAUGGAUACUUUUUAUCAGAUCCCGAAUUUAUCGGACGUUAUUUAAAUGUAUUUAAUGUAUUUUUAAAAUUGUGAAUAUACAUGUACAUAUAGAAAAUGCGUUAUAUUUUUAAUUAAAGCAAUAUAUUUUAUUGGAGAAUACAGCAUCGCAUGUUCAACUUUUCCUAUUUUGACCGAGAAAAGGCUGAGAAGUAAUACCAGACCAACUAUAAAAUCAUCUUUUAGAUCUUUUUAGUACCUCAUUUGAAGAGCAACUUUGAAAGACCAAUAUAAGCCUCAAAUAUUGUUUGUUUACAGAAAUGUUUUGAAUGCAACUAAACACUUUUAAAAGCUUAGAUUUUGCUUUUAAUUAAUGUACAUGUAUUAUAAAAUAUAUCAAAUAAAACAUACC